UUUUGCCUACGGGAGGCAGCAGUGAGGAAUAUUGGUCAAUGGGAGAGAUCCUGAACCAGCCACACCGCGUGAGGGAAGACGGCCCUGUGGGUUGUAACCCUCUUUUGUCGGAGAACAAAACCCGGGACGUGUCCCGGACUGCGUGUAUCCGAAGAAAAAGCAUCGGCUAGCUCCGUGCCAGCAGCCGCGGUAAUACGGAGGAUGCGAGCGUUAUCCGGAUUUAUUGGGUUUAAAGGGUGCGUAGGCGGUCCGUUAAGUCAGCGGUAAAAUUGCGGGGCUCAACCCCGUCGAGCCGUUGAAACUGG
rnacentral:rRNA from 1 species